UCCUGGGCUUUUUAAACCUGAAAUGUGGAUGUUGUUUUAUUCUUCAAACAGCUUGCCAAUUUAGGUCUCAAUGUUGUGUUCAAAGGACUUUAUUUCCCGAACAAAGAUGCUGAGAGAAGGAAGGCAGUGUCAGAGAGACACCAUGUAGUCACCGAAGGAGUAACAUGCCGAAGCAUUAAAGACUUGAACUGUGUGACAACCUCCCCAGCAGAUUGACUUGGUCUCCACUGAAUGACUCUGGACCUGUGGACACUAACUGGAAAAGGUUGGCAGAAGGACAAAUAUGAGUCGAGCCCAAAACAAAACAAGUUCCAGGCUAGCCAGGAUUACAUGACAAGACCCUGAAAGCACUCCUUGGGACAACAAGAUGGUCCAACUGCGGACAGCACUUUCUGCACAGACUUGACAACCUGAGUUCUAUCCCCUGAUCUCAUUGUUCAAAGUGGGAACUGACUCCUGAAUGCUAUCCUCCGACCUCUACUUGUAUGCCAUGUCAUGGGUGUGCACCCACAAAAAAUAAAUAAAUAAAAAAUUUAAACCCAUA